rnacentral:rRNA from 1 species
UAGUGGCCUUUCACCAUCAAGCGAUAGGGGACCAGUGCGAGGACAUAUAGCCCUCGCUUUUCUAACUGUAAGGGGGGGGGGGAAUAAGAGCUGGGCAAGACCGGUGCCAGCCGCCGCGGUAAUACCGGCAGCUCAAGUGAUGACCGAUUUUAUUGGGGCCUUAACGCCUUCCGUACCCGCCCAAAAAGGGUUUUAUGGGUAAAAUCCGCCCACCUUAACCGGGUGCGGGCUCCUGGUAAAAAACCAUUUUGUUUGGCCCCCGAAGGGCUUACGGGGGCCCCUCUGGGGGACAUAAAUUAAAACUUGCCUGUCCGGGGAUGGGCACAUGCACCUCCAAAAGCACUUAUCCAAAAUUCCCGAUGUAUAGCUAGGGCUCUCGAACCCGAUUACAUACCGGGUAGUACCAGCUGUUAACGCGCUCGCUUAAGUGUUGCACAGGCUAUGAGCCAGGUCCGUGCCGUAUGCCAGCCGAGAAGCGAACCUCUGGUAAUACGGUCGCCCGCUGAACCUUCCGACUGGCGGGGAUCCCACCCA